rnacentral:rRNA from 1 species
AUGAGGUGCCCCGGGCACCCCCAUAUAGAAAGAAGGGUCGAAGGUUUUGGGCCUGUAGCUUUCCCCGCCCCCCCCUCGUCGAGUGGUGCUUGUUUGGGGGGUGUGCCACUAGAAAGCGGGCUUGAAGCUCUCGCCUUACCAACGAGUCGACUGCUGAUGGCUGUUGGUCACGACUACUACAAAAAACUGAAGAUGAAUCUUUCUAUUUCACAUGGAGGAGUGUGCAUCUUUAUGUUGGGUGUUCUUCUGUCGUGCAACCCGAUGGCUUAUGUGCGACCUGUGGCCCACGCCUCCUAUUCUAUUUGUUCAGGGCGGGCGGCGUGA